UGUCCCAGCAGCCGGGGUAAUACGGAGGAUGCAAGCGUUAUCCGGAAUCAUUGGGCGUAAAGCGUCCGCAGGUGGCGUAUCAAGUCUGCUGUUAAAGACAGAAGCUCAACUUCUGGCAGGCAGUGGAAACUGGUAAGCUAGAGUACGGUAGGGGUUGAGGGAAUUCCCAGUGUAGCGGUGAAAUGCGUAGAUAUUGGGAAGAACACCAGUGGCGAAGGCGCUCAACUGGGCCUGUACUGACACUGAGGGACGAAAGCUAGGGGAGCGAAAGGGAUUAGAUACCCCUGUAGUCCUAGCUGUAAACGAUGAACACUAGGCGUUGCUUGUAUCGACCCGAGCAGUGCCGUAGCCAACGCGUUAAGUGUUCCGCCUGGGGAGUACGCACGCAAGUGUGAAACUCAAAGGAAUUGACGGGGGCCCGCACAAGCGGUGGAGUAUGUGGUUUAAUUCGAUGCAACGCGAAGAACCUUACCAGGACUUGACAGUUCGCGAAUCUGGGGGAAACUUCAGAGUGCCUUAGGGAGCGCGAAAACAGGUGGUGCAUGGCUGUCGUCAGCUCGUGUCGUGAGAUGUUGGGUUAAGUCCCGCAACGAGCGCAACCCUCGUUCUUAGUUGCCAGCAGUAAGAUGGGCACUUUAGGAAGACUGCCGGUGACAAACCGGAGGAAGGUGGGGAUGACGUCAAGUCAGCAUGCCCCUUACGUUCUGGGCUACACACGUACUACAAUGGUUGGGACAAAGGGCAGCAAGCUCGCGAGAGUAAGCGAAUCUCAGCAAACCCAGCCUCAGUUCAGAUUGCAGGCUGCAACUCGCCUGCAUGAAGGAGGAAUCGCUAGUAAUCGCAGGUCAGCAUACUGCGGUGAAUUCGUUCCCGGGCCUUGUACACACCGCCCGUCACACCAUGGAAGUUGGCCACGCCCGAAGUCGUUACCCUAACCGUUCGCGGAGGGGGAUGC
rnacentral:rRNA from 1 species